rnacentral:lncRNA from 13 species
GAAUUCACGUGGCCGUGAUGGGAGAUAUGGACUUGAAUGAUACCUAAAGCUGUCCACGGCUGUGUUACUCGCAGCGGGGAAAACCUGGCACCUCCAUGAUCUUGGUCUUUUACACUUACUUGUCAUUGGUAUCCAUCUCAGUCCACCAACUGCCACGUGUAAGAAAAACGCAGCUCUCUUUAUUGUUCUAGAAAUGAGUUUAAUUUUUAUUUUCAAGACUCCAAGAUGAUCAGUGGACAAAAACCUAGUCCCUGUCAGCUGGGGGACCCCCACCGCGUUUCCCCUGUGGAUUGCAUCUUGCACUGGCACCUAUGAGUUUCUCGGUGUAAUGUGGUUGUCAGUCUUCCAUCCGUUUGGUCACCACCUGUGUCCCCCUAUUCCUGAUCCUAUAGGCUCCUCUGGCCCCACAGCUCUCUGUGUAUAGAAGACAUUCUCCGUCCAGGACCAGGAUGUGGAAACGAGGCAGCAGGGGAGGACACCAGACCCAACGAAGUGAAGAAACAAGCCCCAGGUUACUUGGCUGGGCAGGAGUGAGGUGCAGAUUGUCAGCCAGACGUCACUCCUGCCCCUUGACCUCCAGCAUCCCAUCCCCUGCAUCCCUGCUCCCACUCCCUGCUUCUGCAGCUCAGCCUUCUAGGCCAGACCACCCAGGUGAAAGGCAGGCACUAUAUUUUCCAUGGCAGAGAGACUUGGGGAGGUACUGAGUGGGAGGAGAUGAAGUAGGUGGCUGCAGAAGCUCUGCCAGGUGGGGGUUGUGCCCUCUCUUAUUUCUGAGCCCCCACCCCAAACUAUCCUGCAGCCCUCAGUCUCAUCUCUCCAUUAUCUCUUCCUUACCCCCCACCCUGAGACUCCCAGAGGGUCCUCAUGGCCUGUCUAGUCUGGCAUUCCCUUAAAAUAGCAAAAUCCUUUGUGGAAAUGACGUCUUACAUGGACUCCUGGCACAUCACACAGAUUAGAGCACGUCUGGUCUGGUGUCAGUCAGGGUUAGGGACAGGGUGCCACUUUCUCUUCCUCCUAUUCAAGAUGCCCCUGAGCCAUUGUGGAGAACCCUGGGGUCCCAAUGAAUGCACUUUGGAACCCCCUAGCCUGGUCCAUACUCCUCCUUGAGCAGAUGAGGAAACGGGACCCAGUGAGGUUCCCUGACUUGUUUAAGGUCAUCUGGGGAGUCAGAGGUGGAGGCAAGGCCUGAGUUGCAUGGUGUCCCAGGCAUGUGUCCCCAGAGUCCUCUACAUUGUCACAUGGAGCCUUCCAGAGCUGCACUUUGUGAAAUUCCCAAUGCAAAUACUAUGCCUGUGCUGGUGCUGCAUUUGCUCACAGCUGCAGAGGCUGGUGCUUCCACAGCCUUAUCACUAAAGCAGGCAUCUCAUUCCCGGCCUCCUCCACCCUGCUCUCCAGGUGGAGAUAAGGGGCAUUAUCUGUCUCAGAGAGCGGAGCUCCAGGAGCGGACGUAAUAAAUGGUGUUUGCUGAGAAGCGCUGUGUUCGGA